rnacentral:rRNA from 1 species
AGCGAACGCUGGCGGCAGGCCUAACACAUGCAAGUCGAACGAACUCUUCGGAGUUAGUGGCGGACGGGUGAGUAACACGUGGGAACGUGCCUUUUGGUUCGGAAUAACUCAGGGAAACUUGUGCUAAUACCGAAUGUGCCCUUCGGGGGAAAGAUUUAUCGCCAUUAGAGCGGCCCGCGUCUGAUUAGCUAGUUGGUGAGGUAACGGCUCACCAAGGCGACGAUCAGUAGCUGGUCUGAGAGGAUGACCAGCCACACUGGGACUGAGACACGGCCCAGACUCCUACGGGAGGCAGCAGUGGGGAAUCUUGCGCAAUGGGCGAAAGCCUGACGCAGCCAUGCCGCGUGAAUGAUGAAGGUCUUAGGAUUGUAAAAUUCUUUCACCGGGGACGAUAAUGACGGUACCCGGAGAAGAAGCCCCGGCUAACUCCGUG